CGGACUCCAGCUCCAGACCGCGAGAGGGCGCCUUGCUUCUCACCAGCGGCCGCCACCAGUCUGCGACGACUGGACCUGCCCCCACCGCGGCGCGAUUUCGCUGGAGUUCGGGUACUGAGCGCCUGUCCCCCCCAGAGCCAGUCAGCGAAGAGCCCCGCGCCACCACUCCAGGAUAGAGGAAAGAAUCACCAUUGCCAAGAAUGGACUGAAGUUUCUGGUGGCAAGCCCAACAAGUAGAUAAGGAUUUUUCAGGAUCUCAUCAUCUGCUCCACUAUUCACGUGUGCUUCAAGACUAGGAUGAAAUGGAUGUCAAUAAGCUGUUUAUUCAGUUCCUGAUGCCAGUCAUAUUUAUCUUCUGUUUCCUUCACUUCCUCUGUACUCUGGUCCUGGAUGCCUUGUGGCUGACUCAUUAAAUUUCUUCUGUUCUUUCCAGGUGCAGGUAGGGAAAGCUGGAAAUGCCACCCAGUGCUAUUUGCCCUCUUCUAGUUUACUAAAUCACACUCACUGUCUGUAGGUUUUUUAUUUCCAUUGUUAG
rnacentral:lncRNA from 1 species